rnacentral:rRNA from 1 species
GCAAGCCUGACGGAGCAAGACCGCGUGAGGGAAGAAGGUCUGUGGAUUGUAAACCUCUUUUGAUAGGGAAGAAGACAGUGACGGUACCUAUCGAAUCAGCCUCGGCUAACUCCGUGCCAGCAGCCGCGGUAAUACGGAGGAGGCAAGCGUUAUCCGGAAUUAUUGGGCGUAAAGAGUCCGUAGGUGGGUAACCAAGUCAGCUGUUAAAUAGUGAAGCUUAACUUCAUAGAGGCGGCUGAAACUGGUUGUCUAGAGUGUGGUAGGGGUAGAGGGAAUUUCCAGUGUAGCGGUGAAAUGCGUAGAUAUUGGAAAGAACACCGGUGGCGAAA